CGCACGUGAAAAAUCUCAUGCGCACCCCCUCCCACCGGCCGGCUCCCGCUGAAGGAAGUCGAUGCCGCCGUCCUCUCGCCUUCAUCCGUCCUCUGCCACAAUCCUUCGUCUUGCCUUGCUCCCGCCACAAGCCAACACGCUGGGCUUUCUGCUCCUCGACUUAGAUUGAGGCAUCGGUUUCCUCUCCACAGGUGCAUGUAAUCCGCUUCAGCAGUCACCGUUUCUUCUCUCAUCCAGCGCGCCAGGUAGGGUUCAGUGUAAACUCUUACUCCACUGCAGCACUACCGGUCAUGUGGCCCUCCUUUUCCUGUGAUACAACAUCAAGAUAGACUGUACCUUAAACUGAAAGGAACCAGAGGUACUUUACUGGUGGGAUCAGGUGGUUUAGAUAGAUCUGGCUGUGGUUUUUCGUGGAAGUUUGAAUUGCCAUGUACUUCUUUGGCUUAGAUAGACCUGACUGUGGUUUUUGCUGUUAAUUUGAGUUCCAAAGAACUUAUUUUGUUUUCAUGGCGUUUACAACACAGUAGCCUACAGCGACAUGUUUUGAUGAUGGCGUCAUCCGUGAGAAUUCUUCUUCUUUUUAGGCAAAAUCACGCGUUAGAAUUCAGUAGGUGUGAUCUGCAUUUGAUUGAUUCAUGAUUUCCCUUGCAGGUUGAAUUAUCCAGGCACGAAUUUAAAGCAUUUUUAUGUCCGGUUCCUGCAAAUGUUGCUGAAGGGUUGUCAUGUGUUUUAAGUAGGAUAGCUGGAAGCCGCAUAUGUUGCUGAAGCACAUAUCAAUCUGGUGGUCUUCAAUAGCAGUAUGCAUUAUUCGUCAGGUAACAAGUCAAUCUGUGAUUGUGUCCCUGCAAGUUCGCACAUCUUUUCGCCUUUAAUAGGUUCUCUUCCCCUGCAACUUCCUCUCUACAAGACUAUGUCCUUCGUUUCCUCCCAGACUCCACACUCAAGUGACAGCUGCUUCCCAGAUUUCUCUCCAUAUCAGAUGUGUCAUUGGAUGGGGAGUGGUGCUAUGGAUGCUUACACUGAUAAAUGUAUCUAGAUCACCUCCUUAAAUCUUCAGCUCAGUGGUUAAAAUAAAUGCCUCAAGGGGCACACAGAAGUUUCCGUGUGAAUUGUACAUGAUGCCUAGAAUCUAAUUGCUGGACAUCACUUAUUAGCUCUGCUAUAUCGUACAACAAGCCAUGGAUAAUACACUUUUAGAUGUAUGCACUAAAGUUACUUUAAGAUUUAAUUUUGGAGACUAAAUUACAUUCGGAAUUUUGUAAACACGCCGUAUUUUGUAGAAUUUAAUUAUAUCCCAAUAUGGCAUUUAACAUAAAAUUAAAUAAAAUGUAUCUUUGGUGCAAAAAUAAGUCUCCUAUCUUCUUUUAAGAAAAUCCGGGGAAAGGAAAUAUACCUACCGGAUCAGAAAAGGAAGACCCAAAAGAACCGAUUUUAGAGACCAUGUGAACAUGCAAUUCUUGUAUAGAAAAUAGUACAUCAUUUUUCUUAUCAUGUCUCCAUUUAUAUCCAUGCCAACAGAUUUCCUUUUUGCCAUUCAAAAUAUGUUUCUGCAUGUGGAAGGUCCAUGCACAGGUUAUUUUCUCCCACUUUAUCUCCAACAAAAUCUCCUUUAUCAUUAAUUAAUGGCUUGCAAACAACAACCUGAACAUAUCAUCAUAUGGAAAUAUAGGUUGGUUGAAUUUUAGGAAACUUGGUCGUACUUAUCAUACUACCUCUGUCCGGGUU